CAAUUUGUCACAAUUAUUGGCACACGCUGAAUUUUAUCUCUUCUUUCCGUUUAUUAUUGUCUCAAAAUCUAUCACAUAAUUCCCCAAAAUUCUAGAAUUUGAAAUUAAAAAAAUAACAAAAACAAGAACCUGAAAUCCAAAUCAACUGAAAUAAAAAAAUACAAGUACUUAACAAAAACUCGAAUGAGAUGAUAAUUAUUAGUGCUAAAAUUUUAUUAUUCUCCCCACAAAUUGCAAAAAUUCUUAAUUCAAAGGCCUUCAACGCGUUUAUCUAAAAUUUUUACUCCCCUUAUCGGCGUUUUUACAAUAUGUGAUUAUCAGAGUCGAGUCCGAUUUCGACCAUUUCGUGAGUGUUACUCUUUUAAUUCGUACCUACUAGUGUUGUCAAUUUUAUUCUUUUAACUUUUUUGUGUUGUGAUUUUAUUUUGUAACAUAUGGAUCAAGGUGCAGAAUGUUUCGACUUGGUAAAACAGUCCCGUUUUAGACAGUGAUAAAGAUGAAAAAAAAUUUUCUAAGUCGCAGGAUCGACCCGAGCAAAGUUACGAUGAACCCGAAAAUGUUAUUGGUUUAUCAUGUUUCCCGAUUAUAUUAGAAAUUUGUGUCGGAAUAAACCCAUGAAUGAUAUAGAUCAAUUAAUCACAGUCAUUUUUAGUACAAACAGUGAGUAUCCAAAGCGAGCGUUCCCGAUUCCUGACCCGGAAUUUAUUCCGGAAAAUCAGUUCGAAAUCCUCCGGGAAAUGCUUCCAUGUGAUUUUUUCAACUGUUCUUGGUACUAUCCUGGUGCCCCACGACUGUUUUCUGUGUCGGUUUCGUGACAGAGGAAGACAAAAAACGUACUACAAUUUUGUUGUCAUGUUUUUAUUUCCGAACAAAGUUUCAUAACCUCACUUCUGUUCCAAUACAAAAUUUAUGGAAUAAAAUAAGCACAGACCCACUUGUCUUGGACCUGCAACCCCCUUCUGGGCCAACACCAAAAACUACUCAGUGUCAGGAGUGCCAGUUAAGGCCCACCGGGACUUCCCCGAUAACCGACAAAUCGCCUCGGAAGUCUUCGAUGUGUGAUUACGAAUCUGAUGGGCCUCGUCGAGGAUAAUCCUACGCCAGUGUACCCCAAAAGCUGCCCCAUCUCGGCUAUUCUCAUUCAUAAUUAUGGUGUAACUCGUGAUGACAAUAUCAUGUUCAGCGAGUCCUUUUGGUUUAGUUUCGUGUUUAGUCCCAUGAUGAACUUUCACCGAUAAUAGCCCCCUUUUUGUCCUCCUCUUAAUCGCCUCCGACCAUUGGUAUAUAAGACUGGCGGGGCAUACCACCAAAGUGCCCCCUGGUUCCUUCUCACCAUGAUUUUCCUUGUCUUUAGUAUCAAGAUUUAGUUCUUUUGAUUUUAACACUAGGGAAAUCAUCGUGAGAGUUUUACCAAGUCCCAUGUCGUCGGCUAGGAGCCCCCCUGAUGGCUUCUGUGUCUCGCGCCACAUAGAAGCCAAGCCAGGGCUUGUUUCUGAUGGGGCAUUAGAGGGAUUUUGAGACCUUGGGGCUCCGCCACGGUGUCUUUCUCACCGGGGCAUGUCUCGAGUGACAUGUGAAGGGAUUCAAGAGUCUCCAGUGCCAUGGUUUUCUCGGCUUUGAAGCGAGCAACACCGAUUUUGCCUAAUGUUCGGGGCCCCACAGCGUCCAACCCAGCCUCGAUCUCCUCCCAAGCCACUUCAACGCGAUUCUGGGCUGUUAAAGGUGCCUCCUGGGUCACUUCCAUACCAUCUAAAAAGUUGUAAAUUUUCGGUCAAUAGUCAACAUAUCGUAUUAACUAAGCGCAUUUUAUUGUGAUUUUAUUAAAAAACGUACUACAA